rnacentral:rRNA from 1 species
GGAUCAAUUUAUUGGUCGUGCUAUUGUACGUACUGGUAUUAUUGAUUCCUACCUUCUGACGAACCAUGAUGUCAUUAAUUUGGUGUCAUGGGGAAUCAGGACUGUUACUUUGAAAAAAUUAGAGUGUUUCAGGCAGGCAAUUGCUUGGAUACUUCAGCAUGGAAUAAUGGAAUAGGACUU